rnacentral:lncRNA from 1 species
AUGUAAUUAACAAAAAAAUUAUCAUGACCGGAAUUCCCACACUCAGGAGUCGUGAUGGCGCCUACUUGUAGAAGCUAGGCAAGCCACAAAUUAUUAACUGCUAACUCCUUUAUUCUUAAAUCAUUUUAUCAAGCAUAACAUCAAGCAUUAAAUAUUUAAAUAACAGCAGAAAUAUAGAAUUAAAGCGGAAGACUUAAAUGAAUAAGCUGAACAAUAAUGCGGAAAUCAACAUAUGCCUCUACCCAAGAACUAGUUUCACAUCACUCACGAACUACUAAGAGUGCUAAAUACAACCGUUUGAAAGAAAUAUAACACGGUUUAUCUAGAAUACAUGAGAUAACUAAAUGAAAUAUAAGAUAGAGGAGACGCCAGGCAUGCGGACACCUGCAAGGCUAUUUUAGUGUCUUGUUGGACUGUAUGCUGGCUCCCCCGCUACUGCUGCUGUCCGAAAUCUUGAUCUGUGCAAAAAAGUACAUAGUGUAGUAUCAGCACAACCGACCCCAUGUGCUGGUAAAUGCGUAGCUUAACCUCAGCAAAGUAGUGACGAGGCUAGGACCAUACUACCAAAUAACCUGUGCAGUUCAAAUAUAUAUGUACAGUGGAAAAGAAAUACAGGAAAUAAUCAGCCAAUAUGGAAGGGGAAAACAUGUUGUGAUGGGAGAUAACAGUUCCGAAUAGAAAAUAUCAAGUCAGGAAAGGAUCAACAAAACUAGAAUAUCAACAAGAAUCAGAAAUCAACAAUUUGCAUGGCAUCACCAUUCGUGCUUUUACUCUCGUCCUCACCCAAACAAUAUUUAUAAUAAACUCUGCACGGCAUCACCCUCUAUGCUUUUACUCUCGUUCUCACCAAUCAAUCAUAUAAUAAUAACAUGCAGAGAAUCACCCUUUGUGCUUUUACUCUCUUUCCUCACCAUAUAACCAAGAAAUACCGGUACGGAAUGGUGCAUCGUAUGGCACGGAAUCACCAUUCGUGCUUUACACUCUUUCCUCACAAUAAACAAUUCACGGCAUCACCCAUCGUUCUUUAAAACUCUUCCUCACCCAAAUAUCAAUCACAAAUAAAGGGGGCAAGGGAGUAAACAAAUAGUAAUAGAAAUCAAGGCAGGGAACACAAUUAAAUAGUUAAAUCCCGGCAAGGGAACACAAUCAAUAAUUCUAGGCAUCCCGGCAAGAGAGAUAAUCAACAAGCAGCAAACAUCCCGGCAAGGGAAUAAUUCAAUAACUCUUUCUCUUUCUUUCACUUUUUACUUCAUAAUUCACUUUACUACUUGAGCCAAUGCUCCAAAGGGUUUCAUUAUCUCAUAUAUUUUUACAAUUUGUAUCAUAACUCGAGCAAAUGUUCCUCGAAGUUCAAAGGUUACAAUUUCUUUUUUCCACAACAUAUAGAAAUCAUCAUCAAGGAAUGAAAGACACAACGAAAUUAGGAUAUUCACAAUGUAAAGACUCACGGUCAUGCUAGACACUAAUGUAUAGAUACUCGUCACCAUGCCUAUCUGUCAUACUCAACAGUUAUCACAAAGCAAAUAGGACUCAACUCCUAAUCCCUAAUAUUAAGGUUAGACCAAACACUUACCUCAAACUUCCACGGCCAAUUCACUUCUCAAUUACCAUUUUCCACUCGAAUUUGGCUCCAAAUCGAUUGUAUCUAUACAAUAAUGACUUCAAUACAUCAAUAAAUGCUAAACAAUGCAAAUCCAAUGCCUAAUUAUAGCUUUUUCAAGCAUUCUUCCCAAAAAUCCAAAAAUCGACCCCGGACCCGCUUGGUCAAAAUACGAGGUUCGGACCAAAAUCAAAUCACAUUCACCCACGAGCCCGAAUAUAUAAUUGUUCAAAUUAGACCCCAAGACGAGGUCUAAAUUAAGAAAAAUCAAAAAGCCCUAACUCUACACCAAAUACCCCAUUUUCUACCUUAAAUCACAUGUUUUAGGCCUAGGAUUUUAAUAGAUAUUAAAGUAAAUGGAGAAAAAUAAGCUAAGAAUUACUAACCCCAAGAGGAUUUUCGUGAAGAAUCGCUUCAAUGGUCGCCUAAGAGCUUGGAAAAGAAGAGGUUUUGUGAAUUUUUGGUUAAUCCCUUAAUGAUACUGUUCUGGAGUUUAAAAAUUUAACCGGGCGAAAAUGCUCUAUGCAAUCGCGAAGAAGGUCAUGCGAUCGCAUAGGGAAAGGCAAAGUUGGCCAUUGAGAUUGCGGACAGGGUCUUGCAAACGAAUAGAAGAAACGGGCUACAUUUCCAGAUUUGGCUUUUAUGCAUGGCAAUCGCGGAGGGGUAAUAUGAUAGCAUAGAACGAAGGGUGGUUACUAUACACGCUCGCGGAGGAAUUUAUGCGAUCGUAUAGAACAAAAUAGGGCACCUGGAAACUUACACUAUGCGAUUGCAGAAAGGCCUAUGCGAUCGCAUAGAACAAAAUAUCAGAAUACCAGAACUGUUGUCUUCUGCAACUUUUCUAAUUCAAAAACCAUUCCGAAACACACCCGAGCCCUCGAGUCUCCUAACCAAACACAUGAACUAACUCAACAAUAUCAUAUUAACUUACCUAUGCAAUCAAAUCGCCAAAAUAACAUAAAAAACAAUGAAUCAAACCUCAAAAUCAAGAGUUAUUCUUCAAACUUCAUUAAGUUUUAAAUUUAGAUCUUCAAGUCCAAAAUACACCAAACGACGUUCGAUUUUAACCAAAUUUUACAGGAAGGACUUAAAAACAUAUAUAAGGCCGGUACUAGGUACCGGAACUAAAAUACGGACCCGAUGCCAUCACUUUCUAAUCAUAUUUCAUUUCCAAUUUCCUUACAUAUUUUCAGAAAAUAAUUUUCUUAAAAAUUCAUUUCUCGGGCUUGGGACCUCGUAAUUUGAUUCCGGGAAUACACCCAUAUCGCAUAUUUUUCUACGGACCCUUUGGAACCGUCAAAUCACGGGUCCGGGUCCGUUUGCCCAAGAUAUUAAUCAAUGUCAAAUUUAUUCAUUUUAACAUCAAAACUUAGUAUUUUUCACAAAAUUUCACAUUUAAGCUUUCCGACUACGCGUCUUGACUACACACAUAAAUUGAGGCAACUCUAAAUGAAAUUUUUAAGGCCUCGGAGGCAUAGAACGGAUAAGAAAAUAGGUAAUAACCCUUUGGGUUGUCACAAAAUACAUUUAAAGAAACUUCUUUACCAUCUCCUCUCUGAUUAUACCGCAUCGCCACCAUUCGCCGCCUUCGGAGAAACAAAUUCUUUUUGGUAAAUGGCAUGCCAUUGGCUUCUGUAUAUGACGAUAAAGAAUAGUAGAAGAAGAAACUCCAUUUUUUUUUUACGAGAAAGAAAGUAAAAAGAUCCAGAUUUGUUAAAAAAAUUUGGCAGCCUCCAUUUUUCUGUUCAAAUUGGUUCUGUUCACGAAGUAAUUUCUAAAUAUGUAAACUUUUUUUUAUAAAAGAACAAAUAUUAAAUAUGUUGACUACCAAAAUAUCACAUUACUUUGAGGAGGGAGAGGGGAGGGGGAGAGGAUUGAACGGGGAAGGAACGAGAUUCGAAGAGGAUUGAAUACCAAAAUUCAGUUUCUUUCUUGGCUUUUGCUAUUCUCUACUAGAUUAAGAUUCGGAGUAGGUGAAAGAGAAGAAUGGGUUUGGUAUAAAAAAU